GUCUCUAUGGCUCAGUCGGUAGAGCGUUGGUCUCAUAUUCUUCAUCAAUAUGACCUGACUUCAAGAUCGGGACAUCCAAAGGUCGCAAGUUCGAGCCUUGCUAGGGACA
rnacentral:tRNA from 1 species